rnacentral:rRNA from 1 species
CAGUCGCCACGGUAAAACGUAGGUCCCGAGCGUUGUCCGGAUUUAUUGGGCGUAAAGCGAGCGCAGGCGGUUAGAUAAGUCUGAAGUUAAAGGCUGUGGCUUAACCAUAGUACGCUUUGGAAACUGUUUAACUUGAGUGCAAGAGGGGAGAGUGGAAUUCCAUGUGUAGCGGUGAAAUGCGUAGAUAUAUGGAGGAACACCGGUGGCGAAAGCGGCUCUCUGGCUUGUAACUGACGCUGAGGCUCGAAAGCGUGGGGAGCAAACAGGAUUAGAUACCCCCGUAGUCCCUGUCUCUUAUACA